AGUGAACGCUGGCGGUAGGCCUAACACAUGCAAGUCGAACGGCAACACAGUAAGAGCUUGCUCUUACGGGUGGCGAGUGGCGGACGGGUGAGGAAUACAUCGGAAUCUACUUUUUCGUGGGGGAUAACGUAGGGAAACUUACGCUAAUACCGCAUACGACCUACGGGUGAAAGCAGGGGAUCUUCGGACCUUGCGCGAUUGAAUGAGCCGAUGUCGGAUUAGCUAGUUGGCGGGGUAAAGGCCCACCAAGGCGACGAUCCGUAGCUGGUCUGAGAGGAUGAUCAGCCACACUGGAACUGAGACACGGUCCAGACUCCUACGGGAGGCAGCAGUGGGGAAUAUUGGACAGUGGGCGCAAGCCUGAUCCAGCCAUACCGCGUGGGUGAAGAAGGCCUUCGGGUUGUAAAGCCCUUUUGUUGGGAAAGAAAAGCAGCAGGUUAAUACCCCGCUGUUCUGACGGUACCCAAAGAAUAAGCACCGGCUAACUUCGUG
rnacentral:rRNA from 1 species